rnacentral:misc_RNA from 1 species
UUGUGGAGGAGGACGCCGAAGGUGGGGCUAAUGACUGGGGUGAAGUCGUAACAAGGUAGCCGUACCGGAAGGUGCGGCUGGAUCACCUCCUAACAGGGAGACAACAAAAUGUUUAAUAUUAAUUUUGUCACCUUAGGUCGAUCGGUAUCUCAGAUUCUUAAUUAAUUAAGAAUUUCAUUUCCUAAGUUUUUUCUAGGUCACACCCAUUACUUUUCCUGGGCCAUUAGCUCAGGUGGUUAGAGCGCACCCCUGAUAAGGGUGAGGUCCCUGGUUCAAGUCCAGGAUGGCCCAUAUCUCGAUGUUGGGGGUAUAGCUCAGUUGGUAGAGCGCCUGCUUUGCAAGCAGGAUGUCAGCGGUUCGAGUCCGCUUACCUCCACUGAUUACCACCUCUUUCAUAAUCUUAUGAGAAAGGAAAUGUUUUAAAUGUGAUGUAAUUCUGGACGAAUCUAGCUUCCUAAUGAAUUAAUUUAGAUAAAUCAUUAAGAUGCUGGACUCAUUGAAUUAAUUUCUUUGUUUUCAGAGAACCUUGACAACUGCAUAGAUUAUUUUUAAAGACAAUAAGCAUCUUUAAUGAUGCAGAUUUAUUAUUUUUGCAAAUGCAUUAAUAACAAUUCUAUUAAGCUGAUGCUUCAAUUUUGAAGUUAUUGGUCAAGCUACAA